CGUGCAGCUUCUUCCACACGGUCCACAUGCGGUCGAUGUUGGAGUGGUGCGCGAAGAACACUUCGUCUCGCGCGGCGGAGUAGAACGCCCCCAUGUUCUCUCUUUCGGGGUUGUACCUGUUCCCUACCCAGCUGUGCAACGUGUUGUGAGGUGCCGCUUCGAUCGUCCCGGGCCCAUCACACCACCCCUCGACGCCGGACCGCAGCUUGCAACCCAUGAACAGCUCGGUCUUCUUCGCUCCCGAGAUCAUCUGGUGGUACAUGAACGCGAGGUUGUCGGCGAUCUGCACGUCGCUGGCGAGGUCAUGAUCCACGUAGUCGAAGUCAUCGACGGCGGCCUCCCGUAGGUGAAUGGCGUCGCGCUCCGUCUCAUUCAGAGCUCCCUUCCGGUAGAUGUCGGGGAACCACAUGCCCUCGGGGGUGUCCCAGCUCCAGUAGGGGAGCGCGAAGGUGUCGUCUCCCAUGAACUUCCCGAGGAUGCGCUCGUGGAAAUAGAUGAAGGCUCGGUGCCAGGGGAAGAAGAGCCAUGACCUGUGGAUCUUGAAGAGGGCAGAGGAGUUCAUCUGGUCGUAGGCGCCGGUGCAGUAGAGGCAGUGCAUGUUGGCCUGGCGCCAAAAGUUGUGGGGAUGGUCAGGCGGGAUCUGCUUCAUGAUGGCCACCGCCCUCUCAUACUUGGCCACGAACUCCUCGUCGACGAGAUGGGCAGGCCGUCGGAUACGCACCGGCGACGACGGAUCCGGGAACUCGAAGUCGAGCAAGGUUUGGUCGGCGUCUUUCCAGGCCGGGCAACAGUAGACCGGACGAUCGGCGUCCGAGAAUGAAGCAUGGCAAACCGAUAGGUUUGCUUUGAGGGGAAUGCCCUUGCUCUUGCUUCCAUCUCUCUGUUCUCCGCCUUGAGGAUUCACUGGUAUUCUGCAAGUUCAAACUCCAUUUCAGCAUUUUGGAUCCGAGAUCGUUGCAAAUCAAAGAGAAUAUAUAGCAUUUCACCCCACAUAUAUAGGAUUCACAUUAUUCGAUUACAUUAUACCUUGUUUCUUCAGCUAAAUACGAACUAAGAACACAAGGAACUGAACCACCAACGUAUGAUGGGGAAAUUCUUUUUCUUUAUUUUUCCCUUAAGAAAGCCAUACUUGUCACGCCAUGGAUCCCACAUCCGUUACUGCUCCG
rnacentral:lncRNA from 1 species